GCUUGUCAGAGGUUCGAAGGCGAUCAGAUACCGCCCUAGUUCUAACCAUAAACGAUGCCAGCCAGCGAUCCGGCUGUGUUCCUCAAAUGACACGCCGGGCAGCUUCCGGGAAACCAAAGCUUUUGGGUUCCGGGGGAAGUAUGGUUGCAAAGCUGAAACUUAAAGGAAUUGACGGAAGGGCACCACCAGGAAUGGAGCCUGCGGCUUAAUUUGACUCAACACGGGAAAACUCACCCGGCCCGGACACAGGAAGGAUUGACAGAUUAAGAGCUCUUUCUUGAUUCUGUGGGUGGUGGUGCAUGGCCGUUCUUAGUUGGUGGAGCGAUUUGUCUGGUUAAUUCCGAUAACGAACGAGACUCUAGCCUACUAAAUAGACGUUCCGAUCACUCCAGUCGGGCGUUCUUCUUAGAGGGACAAGCGGCGUUUAGCCGCACGAGACAGAGCAAUAAC
rnacentral:rRNA from 1 species